rnacentral:rRNA from 1 species
UACGGAGGGUGCGAGCGUUGUCCGGAAUUAUUGGGCGUAAAGGGCGCGUAGGCGGCGGGACAAGCGUGCGGUGAAAGCUCGGGGCUCAACCCCGAGUCUGCCGUGCGAACUGUGUUGCUUGAGCACUGUAGAGGCAGGCGGAAUUCCGGGUGUAGCGGUGGAAUGCGUAGAGAUCCGGAGGAACACCGGUGGCGAAGGCGGCCUGCUGGGCAGUAGCUGACGCUGAGGCGCGACAGCGUGGGGAGCAAACAGG